UACGGAGGGGGCAAGCGUUGUUCGGAAUUACUGAGCGUAAAGGGCUCGUAGGUGGCCAACUAAGUCAGACGUGAAAUCCCUCGGCUUAACCGGGGAACUGCGUCUGAUACUGGAUGGCUUGAGUUCGGGAGAGGGAUGCGGAAUUCCAGGUGUAGCGGUGAAAUGCGUAGAUAUCUGGAGGAACACCGGUGGCGAAGGCGGCAUCCUGGACCGACACUGACGCUGAGGAGCGAAAGUGUGGGGAGCGAACAGG
rnacentral:rRNA from 1 species